rnacentral:lncRNA from 1 species
UGAGAUCCCGCUUGGAAGAAGAAUGCCUCCGUGAAGCAGACGAACCGACGUAGUCGAACGGGUCCUCACAUCCGACACGCUUGCGGAACUCUAUCGAGACGGAGCAAACCGGAAACACAAAUCAACACACGGAAUUCACCACACGAUGCACAACACAAAUGAUGCAUGAACAACUGAAUACAUGCAAGUCACGGCAUGACAAAUCACACAAUCAAACACUACACAUUAAGUGAAGUUCAAUAUGCAACGGGUUGCAUAUUGACGAAACUCCACGUUAGUUAUUUAGUUCUAUCCCGAUUAGGUACUCGGCAAUAUUAAAAGGUUGUUAACAUGGCAAGGGGGUGAAGCACAAAUUAAUCUACCUCGCUAGGCAUUUUAAAUUAGGCCGGAAACGACAUAUAGCAUCUCCGAAAUGACCCCACGUGUUAAAUCUUAAUUUUGUCCAGAUUUUUCCUAAUCACAUUUUAGGUUUGUUAAACGGCAAACAAAGUGGUUCACGUGAUGCUAUGCGACGUGCUGGUCCAUUUACAUAUAUGGCACACCUCCAACGGAGCUACGGACAAAUAGUUACGUCCUAAACCGUUUUCAACAUGUCGGCACGCAAACCGAUGCAAACAGCACGCUAACAACCUUAAAACAUGCAUGAGAGUUGGUUUUAGUGAAACUACAGAAAAUUCUAAGCAACUUAUAUGUUGAAAUCAUUUUAAUCCGAUGCACGGUUUAGAAACUACGCUCGUUUGAAAAACAACGCCUUUUUCUGAAAUUAACAAAAUCCCUGAGAAUUGGAAAAAUCACACGAUGUUAAAAAAAACACAGUGGACCGCAUUUCACCAUAGUGUAGUGGCCCAGGGCUGAAAUCGGCCCACAACAGCUGUGUGCAAGAGAGAAAAAAAAAGAAAAAAAACCACAACCAGCAAAAGAUUAAAGGCACCGAUGGGAUUUGAUCCCAUGACCUCCUGGACGAGGGAAAAAUACUCCAACCACUGCGCUAUUGUUGAGACUUUGGUGCAAGGUGGGUAUAUAAGUCAUAUGUAUCAAACUGAGGCUCUAAUCUAAUUAACACAAAAACAAAAUAGGCAUAUCUGGGAUUCGAACCCCAGAUCUCUGGGAUGUCCCGUUGGCACAAACCAGUUGACCUGUGCAUGCUCGAGUGAAAUAUUGCACGGUUAGCGCCAGAUGAACCAUACCGUGGGGCCAGCCUGACGAAACAGAAUCACGAAACAGAGAUAUCUCUGCUGCCAGGUCGGGGAUGCACGGGUUCAGUUCGUCAGGGACGAAUGGCUGGCGGCAUGGGCGAUGAGGAGGCGGUUCCGACAGGGCUCUUCGCCAACGGGCUAGGUAUCUCCGGUUGAGGGGGGCCCUUCGGACGUGUUGGCUGGGGACGCACACAUGGUCGGUCGAGGUCAGCUUCUGGGAUAUGCUUGGCGCUGUCGGCGCGGUCAACAGCCGAGCGAGCUGUUGCUGCUCGUUACCUGACGAACAGAAGCAGCAGCAAGAGUCUUGUGGAGCACAUCGUUAUCAUUCAGAUUUCUUAGUAUCUCAGGACGAAAGAUGUUCGUAAUUGCUUCAAUACUAGUAGUGGCGAGAUAACCCCGAUGUCCCCAGUACUGGUGCAGAUUGUUCGGGAGUACUGCCAUACUUUGUAUCGUUGUGAUCACGAGGGUCUGUUAUAGAUGAAGGUCCGAGAUUCUGGUCGUGUGUUGACGGAUGUGAUACAGGUGAUGGGUUAGUAUAGGAGUUGUGUGAUUAUUACUCCUUGUAUCCGUGUACCAGAUUGCAUGACCAGAUAUUUCGGGAAUUCAUAGGUGGGAAUUCAAGUAGUUACUUAUAGGACAAUCUUCCAGCAAAUGCAUGAUGUUAGGUUGGGGUUCGACAUCUAGUGGAUUCGUUUGUUCACGGUCGACUUACAGCGGUACACAUUGUGUCUUAAAGAGUCCUUGUAGCUUGCUACGACUCGAGGACGCUUCAUAUGUCGGGUGCACUGCCUUGCACUUGAUGGCUACUGUAAAAUCGAGCCCGUGCGAUCUUGUCCAUGAAAAUAUCGGACGAAAUCUUUCUCAUGAGUUUGUUCUGGCUUGUUUCGUAAGCCACACCCUUUGUUUUGUUGAACUAUGGUAAUUCAAGUUGCUUCGAUGUCAAGUGGUGAUUUCAGAUCUUUCCUAAUCUGUGUUCUCAUAUUUUUAUGGGAAUGCAAAUUCUUUGCUCAAUCCGAUCGUCGUAUCAAUUCCAUUCAACCGGUGUGCUUCUCUUCAGUGAAUUCGAUCCUCUCCAAUUUUUGCAAGAUCAUUCUCUCAUUUUAUUCCGAAGUUCAUCUCAUCUGUCCCAAGUCGUCUUUGUUUUUCCCCGCCCUCCCGCCCUUUUUCUUCGGUGAUUGGAUUUCAUCCAAGAGCAUUCAUUUCAGUGAUGCUUCCGCUAUCUCUUCUUUCUUUCGUAACCGGUGAUUCACCAUGAAGAUUCUCAGGAGCUUCAUGUUCAUCUUUAUUCAUUCUUGUCAUCUUUUCCGGUGAAUUCAAUUCAGUUGUCCAUGUUCAUCAUAUCCUUUUCAUCCUUGUAAUUAUUUCCUAUGUUGGAAAUUUUUAUCAGUCUAUUUUCUUGUUGUUAUUUCUCUCUAUUCUAUCCGGUGCGUUGAAGAUAUUUCAGAAGUUCUGCUUUUUAAUCCUUCACUUAUUUCGAGGGUCUCAUCUCAUCUAGUUUUCAUUGUACCGGUGCAAUAUCUCUCUUUCUAGCAUUCCUUUCAACGGUGGUUUCUUUGAGUGGGCCCAUAACCCACAGGUUCUUUCCCAGGAUCUUACCUGGCUCUUUUAAUCAUCUUCGGAGAUCUUUAAAUCUUUUCAACUAUGACGUAAGUAUGAUUUUCAUUAGUCAUAUCUCUUCUUCAAGAUCUAUUUCAAUUAAUUCAUUCUUUGGCUCAACCUUUCAUUCUUCUCUAUUCCGGAGUGUCUUAGUAAUUCUUGGUGGGUUCUCCUCCUCAUUCUCAGCUUGCUAUCCGAAGGAGUGGUUCUCUCAAUCUUGGUUCAUUCUCUUGGAUAUUCGUCAUUUCAGCUUUGUGCCAUCAUCUUAAUUGUUGUCAAUCAUGUGUAUUCCUUUCUCGCUAUCCGGUGCAUUGCUGAGUUGUUUUCAUUCUCGGUCCUCCGAAGGACAUCAUUUGAGAAGACUUCUUCGUUCUCAGCUUUCGUUCUCUAAUUCUUCUCCAUUGUUGUCUCUUCGUUCGUCUCUCGGUUAUCCGGUGCCUUGUUCAAGUUUUCUCUCACGUGGCUCAUGAUCUCUUCAUUCUCAGGUGUUUCCAUGCAUUCUUGGAAUUUCCCAUUCAGUUGUGAAUUCUUACCGGUGCGUCCUACAAUCAUGCCUCAAGUGGUGAUUAUCCCUCUGUCUCUUCAAGAUUAUUUCAAGAAUAAUAAGUUGUAUGCUAAAUCCGUUGCUUGUCAUCAUUUAAACUUGAUGAAGGAUAAGCAUAACAUAAUUCUUAUUCUUGUUCUUCCUUCUUCCAAGAGAUUUCAAUCCUUCUCCCGAAGUGACUCAUGAUAUCGAUUCUUUUCCCAGGUGCUUAUCUUUCUUUUCCGGAGUUCUAAGUUCUUUUAAGUAUCUAUUUGUGAUGCUUCAUCUAAAUCUUGGCAAGACCAUAAUCUUAUUCUGUUCUACCUUCAUGUCUUUGCAUCAUUCAUUUGUAUAUGGUGGUCCUUCUUGGUGGUUCAUCAAGGUUUCAAUCCAUUCUCAAGUGUUUUUUAAGAUUCUUGUUGGAGAACCUCAAGUUUUUAUUCUCUUGCAUUUCCAAGUGCAUUUGUUCUUACUUUAGCCUUUGAGGUGGUAUUAUAGCAUUCUUGUUAGUGUAGGAGUCUCGAAGAGAUUUUAUUUCAAGAGUGAGAUAAUUAAACCCACCAAUUCUAUGAUCGUGAGAUAUUUUCAACCCAUGAUUUCUUCAUUGAGCUAUCUUGGUUUGGAUUUCACCUAAAGCUUUUCCUAUGAAUUGCUGCUAUCAUGGUGCUUGUUAUUAAUCCAAGUUCUCGAUGUAUCCUCUUGGUGUAAGAAAUUGCUCAUAUCUUGUUUCUCCCAAUCUAUCCUUGUUUCUUUUAGUGGUUGGUUGUCACCUCAUAAAUGUUGUGAUGAUUUCCAUAAGCCCACUACUGUCUUGUUCUUUUCUUUGUUGUUUUUCCAACAACUUCGUCCAAUUCUUCUUGCAAGGAUGCUUGCCAAGUUCAUUGGAGUUAGUAGUUUUCAUUCUUUUCUUCCGUAUGAGCUAGUUCCUAUUCUAUUGUUCCGGAGGGUUUGUGAUAUUUCUCUUUUGGGUCAAUCUUGUUGUUCUAUCAAGAUCAUGGUGUUCCCUUGUUCUAUUUAGUUGUUUGUUAUGUAUAUUGUCUAAUUCUCUCUCCUUGUCGAAUUUUUUGUCCCAUUUUCCUACCGAAGUGCUGCUGAAAAUUUCCGUGAAUUCUUGCUUCUUCUCAUAUCAGUCCUCAUCUCUUUGCAACUUCCUAACGAUGCACAACACAAAUGAUGCAUGAACAACUGAAUACAUGCAAGUCACGGCAUGACAAAUCACACAAUCAAACACUACACAUUAAGUGAAGUUCAAUAUGCAACGGGUUGCAUAUUGACGAAACUCCACGUUAGUUAUUUAGUUCUAUCCCGAUUAGGUACUCGGCAAUAUUAAAAGGUUGUUAACAUGGCAAGGGGGUGAAGCACAAAUUAAUCUACCUCGCUAGGCAUUUUAAAUGAGGCCGGAAACGACAUAUAGCAUCUCCGAAAUGACCCCACGUGUUAAAUCUUAAUUUUGUCCAGAUUUUUCCUAAUCACAUUUUAGGUUUGUUAAACGGCAAACAAAGUGGUUCACGUGAUGCUACGCGACGUGCUGGUCCAUUUACAUAUAUGGCACACCUCCAACGGAGCUACGGACAAAUAGUUACGUCCUAAACCGUUUUCAACAUGUCGGCACGCAAACCGAUGCAAACAGCACGCUAACAACCUUAAAACAUGCAUGAGAGUUGGUUUUAGUGAAACUACAGAAAAUUCUAAGCAACUUAUAUGUUGAAAUCAUUUUAAUCCGAUGCACGGUUUAGAAACUACGCUCGUUUGAAAAACAACGCCUUUUUCUGAAAUUAACAAAAUCCCUGAGAAUUGGAAAAAUCACACGAUGUUAAAAAAAACACAGUGGACCGCAUUUCACCAUAGUGCAGUGGCCCAGGGCUGAAAUCGGCCCACAACAGCUGUGUGCGAGAGAGAAAAAAAAGAAAAAAAAAACCACAACCAGCAAAAGAUUAAAGGUACCGAUGGGAUUUGAUCCCAUGACCUCCUGGACGAGGGAAAAAUACUCCAACCACUGCGCUAUUGUUGAGACUUUGGUGCAAGGUGGGUAUAUAAGUCAUAUGUAUCAAACUGAGGCUCUAAUCUAAUUAACACAAAAACAAAAUAGGCAUAUCUGGGAUUCGAACCCCAGAUCUCUGGGAUGUCCCGUUGGCACAAACCAGUUGACCUGUGCAUGCUCGAGUGAAAUAUUGCACGGUUAGCGCCAGAUGAACCAUACCGUGGGGCCAGCCUGACGAAACUGAAUCACGAAACAGAGAUAUCUCUGUUGCCAGGUCGGGGAUGCACGGGUUCAGUUCGUCAGGGACGAACGGCUGGCGGCAUGGGCGAUGAGGAGGCGGCUCCGACGGGGCUCUUCGCCAGCGGGCUGGGUAUCUCCAGUUGAGGGGGGCCCUCCGGACGUGUUGGCUGGGGACGCACACAUGGCCGAUUGAGGUCGGCUUCUGGGCUAGGCUUGGCGCUGCCGGCGCGGUCAACAGCCGAGCGAGCUGUUGCUGCUCGUUACCUGACGAACAUAAGCAGCAGCAGGAGUCUUGUGGAGCAGAGGACGGCGACACAGGAGGUCGAGCGAUGGGGUCGGUGGGAACCGGCUGGAACCAACGGGAACGGCACGGGGUUAAUCUAGAUCGGGACACUGAGGCGCAGAUGUCGUGAUCCAGGGCGGCGGCGGCGGGUUUUUUCUCGUUCUGCUCCUGACAGAAGAAACGAGCAGAGGGAGAGGUUAGAACAGAGGAGGAAGAAGAAAAGGGAGAGGGAGAAGAGAGGGAUGGCACACGGGCACCGGCCUGGGCGUGGUGCUACUCCGGCGAGGCUGGCCUCGAGAGCUUGUUGCCCCCGUUCUAGAUCGGAAGCGCCGGCUGGGGUUGGGACUGUUGUUGAUGUUGCUGGCGCCGGGCGCGUGUACUAAGCAACUCUGGACAUGGGGGCGCUCCUGGCCGAGGUAGCAGCGACCGGAACGGCAGCGGGGCUGGCUUGGCUCAGACGACGAGGGGGCUACGGAUGCUCCAGCUAUUGGAUCGAGGCCCCAUGGGGUGGCUCGGCUGCUGCAAGACAGAGAGAGAUGAGACGAGGAAGACAGAAGAACCAGGAAAGAGAGGAGGAGAGAGGAGCAGGGGCACCAGCGCGGAUGCAGGGAGCUACCGGUGACGGGCCCUGGCAUCUGCCGGCUCCUGGAUGCGUCCAACAUGCAGAGUAGAAGGUGGCAUCGGGGCAUGCUUCUUGCUGGUUGGGCAGGGGAACGAGAUCCCGAGGAAACAGGAGUGGCGGCGGCGGCGGCGGUGAUGGGACAAGAUCCCUAGGAAUUAGGGUUGAACCUCUUUUAUAUAAAGAUAUUGAAUUGGGCUAGAGUCUAUCAGGACCCUCCGAUGGAGAUCAGACGGUCGAGAAUAACUAGGUUAGGGAGUCCAAUGGACAAACAGAUGAUGGGUUGCGGUAUUACGGGGUUGAACCAGAUCCAACGGUCACAACCGUGUGGUUCGGGCACCGGGAGGUUUCGGACUGGGCUGCGCGUAGGGGCGGUGCACUGAGCAGAGGCGCUAGGCGAAGAUGACAGGGAAAAACGGGCAACCCGGUGACAGAGUUUAAAAUACCGAAACGUCCGACAAUUGACCGGCUAUAGUGCCGCUAUAUAAUAAACAGCACGGGUGACAAACGAGCUCCGAUCGCGAUAAAAUUUGACGGAUGGACUACCUACACUAAAUUAAUACCGCACGCCAAGUUCCAGCUCAAUCAGAGAAAGUUUUACGCACACUUUAAAACAAGGUUUCGACGAUGCCACGGGCGCGUGCGUGUGUGGUCGGGCUCAGAACGGACAACGACGAGAACCGGUAACUAACAACGGAUGCAAGUUUGAAAACUGGCGGCAACGGAGAUGCCGAUGCAAUGCAUAUGAUGCGAUGAUGAUGCGACAAAAGAAAAUAGACACACGACGAAAACGGAAAGAAAAGGGGAAUCUUCUGGAACGUCGGCAUCGGGCUAUCACAUGCUUACCACUGAAACUAUACUCAACUCACGUGAUGAUCGAACUUGAGCUAGUGUAAGUGGAUCAUGAACCACUCAAAUGACUAGAGAGAUGUACUUUUUGAGUGGGAGUUUAGCGAGUAAUUUGAUUAAAGUUAAACUCUAAUUAUCUGAACAUAGUCUAAGUCCACUUUGAAUAUAUUUGUGUUGUUGAUCAUGGCUCACGCGACAGUCACCCCGAAUUUUAAUACGUUCCUAGAGAAAGCUAAGUUGAAAGAUGAUGGAAGCAACUUUGUAGACUGGGCUCUUAAUCUUAAGCUAAUCUUACAAGCUGGGAAGAAGGAUUAUGUCCUUAAUGCUGCAAGGAGAUGACCCACCCGCUACGGCUGACCAGGAUGUUAAGAACACUUGGUUAGCACGUAAGGAGGACUACUCAGUAGUUCAAUGUGCAGUCUUGUAUGGCUUGGAACCGGGACUUCAACGUCGCUUUGGGCGUCAUGGAGCAUUUGAGCUGUUCCAGGAGUUGAAGUUUAUCUUUCAGAAGAAUGCCCGGAUCGAGAGGUAUGAGACCUCCGAUAAAUUCUAUGCUUGCAAGAUGGAGGAGAACUCGUCUGUCAGUGAACAUGUGCUCAAAAUGUCUGGGUACUCAAACCGUCUAGCUGAGCUGGGGAUUGAACUCCCGCAAGAGGCUAUCACUGACAAAAUCCUUCAAUCACUGCCGCCAAGCUAUAAAGGCUUUGUGUUGAACUACAACAUGCAAGGGAUGAACAAGUCUCCCGGCGAGUUGUUUGCGAUGCUGAAAGUCGCAGAGUCUGAACUCCGUAAAGAGCAUCAAGUGUUGAUGGUGAAUAAGACCACUAGUUUCAAGAGAAACGGCAAAGGCAAGAAGGGUAAUUCGAAGAAGAGCGGCAAGCCUGUUGCCAAUCCGACGAAGAAACCCAAAGCUGGACCUAAGCCUGAAACGGAGUGUUACUAUUGCAAGGGUAUGGGUCACUGGAAGCGCAAUUGCCCCAAGUAUCUGGCAGAUAAAAAGGCAGGCAAAGAAAAAUCAGGUAUAUUUGAUAUACAUGUUAUUGAUGUGUACUUAACCGGCUCUCGUAGUAGUGCCUGGGUAUUCGAUACCGGUUCUGUUGCUCAUAUUUUCAACUUGAAACAAGAACUGCGGAAUAGACGAAGGCUGGCGAAAGAUGAAGUGACGAUGCGCGUAGGAAAUGGUUCCAAGGUUGAUGCAAUCGCCGUCGGCACAGUUUCACUUCAGUUACCAUCAGGAUUAGUGAUGAACUUAAAUCAUUGUUAUUUAGUGCCUGCGUUGAGCAUGAACAUUAUAUCUGGAUCUUGUUUAUUGCGAGACGGUUACUCUUUUAAGUCAGAGAAUAAUGGUUGUUCUAUUUCCAUGAGUAACAUCUUUUAUGGUCAUGCACCCAAUGUGAGAGGAUUGUUCAUAUUGAAUCUUGAUAGUGAUACACACAUACAUAACACUGAGACCAAAAGAGUUAGAGUUAACAAUGAUAGCGCCAUAUUUUUGUGGCACUGCCGCUUAGGUCAUAUUGGUGUAAAGCGCAUGAAGAAAACUCCAUACCGAUAGACUUUUGGAGUCACUUGACUUUGAUUCACUUGACACGUGCGAACCAUGCCUCAUAGGCAAGAUGACUAAAACUCCGUUCUCCGGAACAAUGGAGCGUGCAAGUGACUUGUUCGAAAUCAUACAUACCGAUGUGUGCGGUCCAAUGAGCGUGGAGCCACGCGGCGGAUAUCGUUAUUUUCUCACCUUCACUAACGAUUUGAGUAGAUAUGGUUAUGUCUACUUAAUGAAGCACAAGUCUGAAACAUUUGAAAAGUUCAAGCAAUUUCAGAGUGAAGUUGAAAAUCAUUGUAACAAGAAGAUCAAGUUCCUACGGUCUGAUCGUGGGGGUGAAUAUCUGAGUUUCGAGUUUGGUGCUCACUUAAGACAAUGUGGAAUUGUUUCACAGUUGACACCGCCUGGAACACCACAGCGUAAUGGUGUGUCCGAACGUCGUAAUCGUACUUUAUUAGAGAUGGUGCGAUCUAUGAUGUCUCUUACCGAUUUGUCGUUAUCAUUUUGGGGUUAUGCAUUAGAAACAGCUGCAUUCACUUUAAAUAGGGCACCAUCAAAAUCCGUUGAGACGACACCAUACGAACUGUGGUGUGGCAAAAGGCCAAAGUUGUCGUUUCUUAAAGUUUGGGGAUGUGAUGCUUAUGUCAAAAAGCUUCAGCCUGAAAAGCUGGAACCCAAAGCGGAAAAGUGCAUCUUCAUAGGUUACCCAAAAGAGACAGUUGGGUACACCUUCUAUCUCAAAUCCGAGGGCAAAGUGUUUGUUGCUAAAAACGGAGCUUUUCUCGAGAAGGAGUUUCUCUCGAGAGAAUUGAGUGGGACGAAGAUAGAACUUGAUGAGGUUGUCGAACCUCUCAUCCCUCUAGAUGGUGGCGCAGGACAAGGGGAAACCUUUGUCGUUGCGACGCCGAUUGAGGAGGAAGUUAAUGAUGAUGAUCAUGAAACUCCGGUUCUGGUUUCUGUCAAACCACGCAGGUCGACGAGACCAUGUGCUGCUCCACAGUGGUACGGUAAUCCCGUCAUGUCAAUCAUGUUGUUAGACAACAAUGAACCUGCAAAUUAUGAAGAAGCAAUGGUGGGCCCAGAUUCCAACAAAUGGCUAGAAGCCAUGAAGUCCAGAUAGGAUCCAUGUAUGAGAACAAAGUGUGGGCUUUGGAAGUACUACCUGAGGGCCGCAAGGCUAUUCAGAACAAAUGGAUUUUUAAGAGGAAGACGGACGCUGACGGCAAUGUGACCAUUUAUAAAGCUCGACUUGUGGCAAAGGGUUUUUCACUAGUUCAAGGAGUUGACUACGAUGAGACAUUCUCACCCAUAGCGAUGCUUAAGUCCGUCAGAAUCAUGUUAGCAAUAGCUGCAUUUUUCGAUUAUGAAAUCUGGCAGAUGGAUGUCAAAACGGCGUUCCUUAACGGUUUCCUUAAGGAAGAGUUGUAUAUGAUGCAACCCGAAGGUUUUGUCGAUCCUAAGAAUGCUAACAAAGUGUGCAAGCUCCAGCGAUCCAUUUAUGAACUGGUGCAAGCAUCUCGGAGUUGGAACAAACGCUUUGAUGAGGUGAUCAAAGCAUUUGGGUUUAUACAAGUGGUUGGAGAAUCUUGUAUUUACAAGAAAGUGAGUGGGAGCUCUGUGGCGUUUCUAAUAUUAUAUGUGGAUGACAUAUUGCUGAUUGGAAACAACGUGGAGUUUUUGGAGAGCAUAAAGGAUUACUUGAAUAAAAGUUUCUCUAUGAAGGACCUAGGAGAAGCUGCUUACAUUCUAGGCAUUAAGAUCUAUAGGGAUAGAUCAAAACGCCUGAUAGGACUUUCGCAAAGCACAUACCUUGAUAAAGUUUUGAAGAGGUUCAAAAUGGAACAGUCCAAGAAAGGGUUCUUGCCAGUUUUACAAGGUACGAGAUUGAGUAAGAAUCAAUGCCCAGCAACUCAUAAGGAUAGAGAGCAUAUGAGCACCGUCCCCUAUGCUUCAGCCAUAGGUUCUAUCAUGUAUGCAAUGUUGUGCACUAGACCGGACGUUAGCCUGGCCAUAAGUGGAUCACUAGACGGCGGUCAAGAAUAUCCUGAAGUACCUGAAAAGGACUAAGGAGAUGUUUCUCGUGUAUGGAGGUGACGAAGAGCUCGCCGUAAAGGGUUACGUCGAUGCAAGCUUUGACACAGAUCCGAACGACUCUAAGUCGCAGACCGGAUACGUAUUUAUUCUUAAUGGGGGUGCGGUAAGCUGGUGCAGUUCCAAGCAAAGCGUCGUAGCAGAUUCUACAUGUGAAGCGGAGUACAUGGCUGCCUCGGAGGCGGCUAAGGAGGGUGUCUGGAUGAAGCAGUUCAUGACGGAUCUUGGAGUGGUGCCAAGUGCACUGAAUACAAUAACCUUGUUCUGUGACAACACGGGUGCCAUUGCCCUAGCAAAGGAACCACGGUUUCACAAGAAGUCCAGACACAUCAAACGACGCUUCAACCUCAUCCGCGACUACGUCGAAGGGGAGGACGUAAAUAUAUGCAAAGUGCACACGGAUCUGAAUGUAGCAGACCCGCUGACUAAACUUCUUCCACGGGCAAAGCAUGAUCAACACCAGAACUGUAUGGGUGUUAGAUUUAUUACAAUGUAAUUCGCAUGAUGAUGUGAGGGCUAGAUUAUUGACUCUAGUGCAAGUGGGAGACUGUUGGAAUUAUGCCCUAGAGGCAAUAAUAAAUAUAGUUAUUAUUAUAAUUCCUGUAUCAAGAUAAUCGUUUAUUAUCCAUGCUAUAAAUUAUUAUUAUGAUUCCUGUAUCAAGAUAAUCGUUUAUUAUUCAUGCUAUAAUUGUAUUGAAUGAAGACUUAUAUACAUGUGUGGAUAUAUAGACAAAACACUGUCCCUAGCAAGCCUCUAGUUUGCUAGCCAGUUGAUCAAAGAUAGUCAGUGUCUUCUGAUUAUGAACAAGGUGUUGUUGCUUGAUAACUGGAUCACGUCAUUAGGAGAAUCACGUGAUGGACUACACCCAAACUAAUAGACGUAGCAUGUUGAUCGUGUCAUUUUGUUGCUACUGUUUUCUGCGUGUCAAGUAUUUAUUCCUAUGACCAUGAGAUCAUAUAACUCACUGACACCGGAGGAAUGCUUUGUGUGUAUCAAACGUUGCAACGUAACUGGGUGACUAUAAAGAUGCUCUACAGGUAUCUCCGAAGGUGUUCGUUGAGUUAGUAUGGAUCUAGACUGGGAUUUGUCACUCCGUGUGACGGAGAGGUAUCUCGGGGCCCACUCGGUAAUACAACAUCACACACAAGCCUUGCAAGCAAUGUGACUUAGUGUAAGUUACGGGAUCUUGUAUUACGGAACGAGUAAAGAGACUUGCCGGUAAACGAGAUUGAAAUAGGUACGCGGAUACUGACGAUCGAAUCUCGGGCAAGUAACAUACCGAAGGACAAAGGGAAUGACAUACGGGAUUAUAUGAAUCCUUGGCAGUGAGGUUCAAACGAUAAGAUCUUUGUAGAAUAUGUAGGAUCCAAUAUGGGCAUCCAGGUCCCGCUAUUGGAUAUUGACCGAGGAGUCUCUCGGGUCAUGUCUACAUAGUUCUCGAACCCGCAGGGUCUGCACACUUAAGGUUCGACGUUGUUUUAUGCGUAUUUGAGUUAUAUUGUUGAUUACCGAAUGUUGUUCGGAGUCCCGGAUGAGAUCACGGACGUCACGAGGGUUUCCGGAAUGGUCCAGAAACGAAGAUUGAUAUAUAGGAUGACCUCAUUUGAUUACCGGAAGGUUUUCGGAGUUAUCGGGAAUGUACCGGGAAUGACGAAUGGGUUCCGGGUGUUCACCGGGGGGGCAACCCACCCCGGGGAAGCCCAUAGGCCUUGGGGGUGGCGCACCAGCCCUUAGUGGGCUGGUGGGACAUCCCAAGAAGGCCCUAUGCGCCAUAGGAAGAAAAUCAAAGAGAAAAAAAAAGAGGAGGUGAGAAAAGGGGGAAGGACUCCUCCUUCCAAACCUAGUUGGACUCGGUUUGGAAGGGGAGGGUUGCCCCCCUUGGCUUGGCCGACCCCCUUGGGAGUCCUUGGACCCCAAGGCAAGGCUCCCCCUCCUCCCCCUAUAUAUACGGAGGUUUUAGGGCUGAUUUGAGACAAUUUUUGCCACGGCAGCCCGACCACAUAUCUCCACGGUUUCACCUCUAGAUCGCCUUUUUGCGGAGCUCGGGAGGAGCCCUGCUGAGAUAAGAUCAUCACCAACCUCCGGAGCGCCGUCACGCUGCCGGAGAACUCAUCUACCUCUCCGUCUCUCUUGCUGGAUCAAGAAGGCCGAGAUCAUCGUCGAGUUGUACGUGUGCUGAACGCGGAGGUGCCGUCCGUUCGGCACUAGAUCGUGGGACUGAUCGCGGGACGGUUCGCGGGGCGGAUCGAGGGACGUGAGGAUGUUCCACUACAUCAACCGCGUUUCUUAACGCUUCUUCUGUGCGGUCUACAAGGGUACGUAGAUCGAAUAUCCCCUCUCGUAGAUGGACAUUACCAUGAUAGGUCUUCGUGCGCGUAGGAAAUUUUUUGUUUCCCAUGCGACGUUCCCCAACAGGCUUGGCGAGCGGCUAAUAUGGAGCGCAAGAAGCUGCCUGCAGGCACCAUGGUCCAUGGUGUUCCGGAGCUGGUAUUGAUGUUUGCCAGUAGCCGGUACAAGGUGGACCAGGCGGCCCGCGUGGUAAGCAGCGAUCUGGAGCGUUUGGAGGAGCGCACCAGGGUAAGUGCCUUGUCUCUGUCUUCAAUUUUUCUUUUCUUCUUCUUGAAUCAGUGGGGGCGCACCAGCGCACCCACUGGGUGUAGCCUCCGAGAGUCAGGCCGGCCGAGCAUCGGCCAGACUGAAUCUCUUUUAGAUUCUUCUCUUGCUUUGCUUCUUUAGUGGGGCCGCGCUAGCGCACCCACUGGGUGUAGCCCCCGAGAAUCGGGCUGGUUAUGAUUUAACCAGGCUGAAUCUUACUUCUGCUUCUUCCUUGCUUUGUAGGAUCUUUAUGAUGCCGAGAUGCAAGCCUACAACACGCUGCAGGCUCAAAACCAGGCGGUUGAUGGCCACGUCGCCAAGCUUCAGGCCCGGCUGCACGAGGUUAUCGUGGAGCGGGACGCCCUGCGCGAGGCGGACAGCCGGCUCCAGCAGCAGCUGACUCUUCUCCAGAUAGAGAAGAAGGAGCUCGAGGCGGCUCGCCAGGCCGAGCAGGAGCAGUUGCGCGCCUCCCUGUAGGAGAAGGACGCCUCCCAUACUAUCGACGUGGAGCGUCUUGAGAUGCUUCAUCUCGGGGAGAUGAAGCUCAAGGACGCUUCCUUGAAGGAGAAGGAGGACGCCCCGAUCCAGAAGCAGGCGCAGCUGGCCAAGGCCCUGGACGCCGCGGCGGCCCUCCAAGACGAAGUCGCCCGCCUCACUCAAGCGAGCAAGGUGCGGGAGCUCGAGGCCCUGGAGGGCGCCCAUGAGACUGAUAGCGACUUCGACCGUGAGUCUUAUUUUGUUUUGUCUUGAAUUUUUCUUUGUCGCCACCUCUUCUUACUCUUCUUUGCACCCAAUCCCCUAUCUCAGGCCUCUUCCCUAAGAUACAGGACGCGGCCGACACGGCCGUCGAGGUGAGCCGCAAGGAGCGCCGCGCGGCCGGGCAGGUGGUAGACGCUACCUCCCGCUGGAGCAUGGAAGAGAUCGGGGUGGGCCUCAGAGCCCGCCUGCGCAUCCUGGGCGAGUCCGUGGCUCGGCUCCAGAUCGCAGGCUCGUCGAUGGUGAAGGCCGUGUGGCUUGACGGCGUGGAGCCGGCGUCGAUGAGCCGGCUCUCCCGCUGGCUUGCGGCUGGCGAAGACCGUCUUGACGUCUCGCGCGCUUCAGCCGCGCGCGCUGGAGCCUACAUGGCCCUGCGCUUGGCCAAGUCCUGGUACCGAAACCUGGACUUGGGCAAGCUCGUCGCUCAGCGCGAUGGCUCGGAAGUGGAGCUGCAAGCCGUGGAGGAGGAGCUGCGCGUGAGGGCCAGCGACAUCGCCUUGUACGCCGCCUGGGAUGAGCUCAACUUGGAGCGGGGCGAAGGCGGCAAUGUGAUCCGUGAGGAUCUGCAUGGCCUUUAGCUCUAUGACGCUGAUGGCAGCUCCGACGAGGCGACCCAUGAGGUGGAAAAUGUUGCCGCCUCCAGCGGCGAGGCGUAUGCCGACUCCGACGCGGAUGGAUCCGGAAGCCCUCGUGGAGGAGACGGCGCCACCGCCUCGGGAGCAGCCAGCGAUGGUGAAACCACCACUUCAGGAGCAGCAGCCAGGGCGACCGACGAGGCCGGAGCCCCUUAGUCGAUCCUGUUUUUUCUUUUUGUUGUCUGCAAUUAUCUUGUCAGUCCAAUAGUUCCACCCACUGGGGGGUGUAAUGAACUUCGACCGUGGGCCAAUGCAUUUUGAAUGUAUGGAUUCAGCAUUAUAUUCGUAUUGCCAUGCUUGUUGUUUUAUAUCUUUAUCUUUUGAUUCCUAUUUGACUUCUUUUUCUCCAACUCCUCUACCCCCCAAGUUUCCACCCCGCCAGCCCGAUAGCCGGGAGCCGGUCUGUGACUGGGUCGAGGUUUCUGACUUUGAGAAUAUAAGACUUAGAUUUUUCGAAGCCAUCAAGACUUAAAGAUUCAUACAUAAACCAGCAGAGGCCGGCUUGAAUGAGAUCGUAAAAUAGAUCAAGCCAACCUGAGCCGGCAACCUUUUUGUAGUCAAACUUUACAUGCAUCCGGCCUUACCUGGCGUCGCCUCGCUAGCCGGACAGCCGGGAGCCGGUCUGUAGCUGUUACGAGGUGACCAGGGAUCGGUCCGGCGUACACUAUGUGUUUUUCUACAACAUAAGGAAGUCGUCGGGGCGGCUAGUGAGCCUCCGAGCUUAUUGGAGCCAGCAAGGGGCUCACAGAGUGAGCACUCUAAGUAUGAAUUUAAAAAGAAGCAUAUGGCAUGCUCUUUUCAUUGCAUUCAUUGGAAAUCCCUGAAGAGGGAGAAAGAUACAUAUGUGCAUGCUCUUUCCAUGUUUGAUACUUGCCUUCUAGCAAUAGAACGGGCGAAGCAACGCCGCGUUCCAUGGACGUUCUGUCUCCUGGCCGGAGUCGUCCCUCUUGCGCUUCCUUGGCUUCUGGGCAUCGAUCAAGUAGUAUGCAUUGUUGUGCAAUGCCCUACUGAUGAUGAAGGGUCCCUCCCAUGGGGAUGAGAGCUUGUGCUGGCCGGCGGUGCGCUGGAUUCUUCUGAGCACCAAGUCUCCCUCUCUGAAAGAGAGAGGAUUGAUCUUCUUGUUGUGGUAGUAUCUCAGCUUCUGUUGAUAGAUGGCCGUCCGGCUCAAGGCCAAGUCCCUUGCUUCCUCGAGGAGAUCAACAUCGUCUUCUCUUGCCUCCUUCGCCUCCGUUUCUGUGUACAAGGUGACCCGAGGCGAGUCGAACUCGAUAUCCGUAGGGAUGAUGGCCUCGGACCCGUAUACCAGAAAGAACAGAGUGAAGCCGGUUGACCUGUUGGGCGUGGUGCGGAGACUCCACAGUACAGCUGGCAGUUCUUUGAUCCAGCAGCCGGCUGACCUGAAAAGUGGUGCCACCAGUGUUGGCUUGAUGCCGGCCAGGAUUAGGCCGUUGGCCCUCUCCACCUGGCCAUUGGACUGGGGAUGUGCCACUGACGCCAAGUCGAGCCGGAUGCCUACCUUGGAGCAGUAGAGCGCCAUAUCGAACAGAUAUGUCCGUGAUGAACUUGACAGCCAUGGGGCCAUCAAGCAUCUUGAUGGGCCUAGCUUCAAUCCACUUGGUGAAUUUGUCGACGACCAACAAGAGGUGAGUGAUACGUCUCCAACGUAUCUAUAAUCUUUGAUGGUUCCAUGCUAUUAUCUUGUCAAACUUUGGAUGUUUUGUAUGCCUUUUAUAUCUUUUUGGGACUAACUUAUUAACUGAGUGCCAAGUGUCAGUUCCUGUUUUUUCCGUGUUUUUGACCCUUUUCAGAGGAUAAUAUUAAACAAAGUCCAAACGGAAUAAAACUUCCGAAAAGAUUUUUUUCCGGAACAGAAGAUAUGCACGGGGCGUGAGAACCAAGGCAGAGGCCACAAGACCCCUAGGCGCGGCCAGGGGGGCGCGCCUAGCAGGCUUGUGGGCCCCCGUGUGGCUCGUCUGCCCUACUUCUUCCGCCUAUAAAUCCCCGAAAAAUCAAAAACCACGGGAGAGAUCCACGAAAAUACUUUUUCGCCGCCGCAAGCUUCUGUGUCCGCAAGAUCCCAUAUGGGGCACAUUCUGGUGCCCUGCCGGAGGGGGGAUUCAGAUAAGGAGGGCUUGUUCAUCAACACCAUGGCCUCUCCGAUGAUGCGUGAGUAGUUCACCAUAGACCUUCGGGUCUAUAGCUAGCAGCUAGAUGGCUUCUUCUCUCUCUUGGAUCUUCAAUACAAAGUUCUCCAUGAUCUUCAUGGAGAUCUAUCCGAUGUAAUCUUAUUUUGCGGUGUGUUUGUCGAGAUCCGAUGAAUUGUGGAUUUAUGUUCACAUUAUCUAUGAAUCUUAUUUGAGUUUCUUCUGAUCUCUUAUAUGCAUGAUUUCAUACCCUUGUAAUUCUCUUCGAGUUGUGGGUUUUGUUUGGCCAACUUGAUCUAUGAUUCUUGCAAUGGGAGAAGUGCUUGGUUUUGGGUUCAUACCGUGCAGUGACCUCACCCAGUGACAGAAGGGGUAGCGAGGCACGCAUCGUGUUGUUGCCAUCAAGGGUAAAAAUAUGGGGUUUUCAUCAUUGGUUCGAGAUUGUCCCUCUACAUCAUGUCAUCUUGCUUAAGGCGUUACUCUGUUCGUCAUGAACUCAAUACACUAGAUGCAUGUUGGAUAGCGGUCGAUGUGUGGAGUAAUAGUAGUAGAUGCAGACAGUAUCGGUCUACUUGUCUCGGAUGUGAUGCCUAUAUGUAUGAUCAUUGCCUUAGAUAUCGUCAUGACUUUGCGUGGUUCUAUCAAUUGCUCGACAGUAAUUCGUUCGCCCACCGUAAUAUUUGCUAUCUUGAGAGAAGCCUCUAGUGAACACUAUGGCCCCCGGGUCUACUUCACAUCAUAUUUUCAGCCUUACACUUUUGCUUUGUUGCACUUUCCACCUUCAGAUAUCACUUUACAAUCAAUCUUGAAGGGAUUGACAACCCCUUUGUAGCGUUGGGUGCAAGCUCAUUUGUGUUUGCGCAGGUACUCUGGACACUUGGCUUGAUUCUCCUACUGGAUUGAUACCUUGGUUCUCAAACUGAGGAAAAUACUUACUGCUACUGUGCCGCAUCACCCUUUCCUCUUCAAGGGAAAAACCAAUGCAAGCUCAAGAGGUAGCAGUGAGUCAUGCCACCGCGAGCCGUCUUGAAAGGCCCCACCAUGUCUAGCCCCCAAAUGGUGAAAGGCCAUGACAAGGGGAUGGUUUUGAAGGCCGAAGGCGGCAUGUGGCUCUGCGUGCCAAAGAAUUGGCAGCCCUCGCAUUUGUUAACCAAGCCCACUGCCUCCUCGAGGGCCGUGGGCCAGUAGAAUCCGUGGCGGAAUGCCUUGGCUAUCAGGGUUCUAGGGGCGGCAUGAUGCCCACACUCCCCUUGGUGAAUGUCUCUGAGGAUCUCCUGUCCCUUUUCUGAUUCGACGCAGUGCUUGAACACGCCAGUCAUGCUAUGUCGAACCAGCUCGCGAUUGAUGAUGGUGUAGGCUGCAGAUCUGCGCUGGAUCUGCCUCGCCUCCGCCUCGUCUUGAGGAAGUUCGCUGCGAAGGAGGAAGGCCAGGAUGGGUUGAGCCCAUGACGAAGCCGACAUGAGGGCUGGCUCCAUCUCGACCUGACUGUCAAGGGCUUCUGCAGCCCCCGCGCUUGAUGAAGCAGUAGUCGUGGGCUCAAGACAAGGUGUCUCUGAUGCUGUUGUGGCGGCCGGCUCGCCGUCUACCUCCAUGACGUCCACCCACUGGGUGUCGAGACGACAUGAUUCGAGGUAGGGCGGAGCCGGAUUUGAUAUUGUAGCCGACGAAGUAGUCGUAGCCGGCGAAGUGGUUGUAGCCGGUGCUGCAAUUGGAGUUGGCAGAGCUAGCAUAGCCGGCACAAGAGCUGUAACUGGUGUAGCUGGUGGAGCUGACGGCGCUUGCACCGAAGAAACAACCGGUGCCGCAAUUUGAGUCGGCACAGCCAGCGUAGCCGGCACAGGAGCUGUAGCCGAUGUAGCUGGUGGAGCCGAUGGCGCUUGCACCGAAGAAUCAGCCGGCACGAAGAUCGAUGCCGACUCUGGAGACGGCCUAAUAGACGGCUUGUGGAGCUGCUCGAGGGAGACGUCGGCUGGGAUAGCCUAUCUCAUGGAGCCAAUCUUUGCCAAUGUAUUGGCUGCCUCGUUGUCCGCCCUAGGAACAUGGUGGAACUCGCAACCCUCGAAGGGGCCGCUGAGUUGCUGGAUGAGGAAGCGGUAGCUUGCCAUGUUAGCGUCCCUGGCGUCCCAUUCGCCAGAAACAUGCUGCACCACAAGGUCUGAGUCGCCGAAGCAGAUGAGCCGCCGGAUGCCAAUCUCCUUGGAGAGCCGGAGGCCAUGAGCGAGCGCUUUGUACUCGGCGACGUUGUUGGAGGCGGCGAAGUGGAUCUGGAGAGCAUACUUGAGUUGGUCUCCUUUCGGAGACAUCAAGACGAUGCCGGCUCCCAGACCAGUCCCCAUCUUUGAGCCGUCGAAGUGCAUCCGCCAAUGCGUGGAGUCUGGAGGUGGUGGCUCAAACUGGGUUUCGGCCCAGUCGACCAGGAAGUCGGCCACCACCUGAGAUUUGAUGGCGGUGCGAGGCUCGUAGCGGAUAUCGUGGUCCGACAUGGCGAUGGACCACUUGGCGAUCCCGCCAGUUGCAUCACGGUUGCCCAUGAUUUCUGAAAGUGGAGCAGUGCUCACCAUGGUGAUAGCAUGCUCUUGGAAGUAUUGCUUCAACUUCUUUGCAGCGAGGUAAACACCAUAACACAUUUUUUGGUAGUGGGGAUAGUUCUGCUUGGAGGCGGACAAGACCUCGCUGAGGUAGUAGACAGGGUGCUACACUAACAGUACCUUGCCCUCCUCCUUGCGCUAAACUACCAGCACUACACUAACCACGCAAGUGGUUGGUGCAAUGUAUACGAGUAUGGGUUCCCUUUCAGCCGGCGCUGCCAAGAUUGGCAGGCUCGAGAUGACCCUCUUGAGGUCGCGGAUGGCUUCGCCCGCCUGGUCGUUCCACUCGAAUUUCGUCGUCGUCUUCAUGAGCUGGUAGAGUGGAAGGGCCUUCUCGCCGAGCCGGCUGAGGAACCGUCUAAGGGACGCCAGGCAGCCAGCGAACUUCUCGACGUCUAGGAUCCGAGCUGGCUUCACCAUCCGCUCGAUGGUGCCGAUCUUCUCAGGGUUCGCCUCGAUUCCACGAGCGAACACGAAUAAACCAACAGCUUGCCGCCUGGAACCCCAAAGAUGCACUUCUCCUGGUUCAGCCGGAUCUUGUACUCGCGCAGGUUGGCGAACGUCUCCCGCAAGUCGUCGAGGAGGCUGAAGUGCUGCUUCGUCUUGACGAUGAUGUCAUCCACAUAGACGUGGAUGUUUCUGCCGACCUGUGGUAGUAGGCACUGCUACAUGCAGUGUUGGAAUGUCGCACCAGCAUUCUUCAGACCGAACGUCAUGGUGGUGUAGCAGUAGGCCCCGAAGGGCGUGAUGAAGGAGGUCUUCAGGCGAUCAGCUAGAUCCAGCUUGAUUUGAUGGUAGCCUAAAUAAGCAUCCAGAAAUGGCAGCAUUUCGUAGCCUGCAGUGGAGUCGAUCACUUGAUCUAUCCUAGGCAACGCGAAAGGGUCUUUCGGACAGGCCUUAUUUAGGCUAGUGUAGUCGAUACACAUUCAUCAGGUAUUGUUCUUCUUCAGUACCAGGACUGGAUUGGCCAACCAGUCCAGGUGGAAAACCUCCAUGAUGAAGCUGGCUGCAAGGAGUCGGGUAAUCUCUUCUUCGAUUGUGCGCCGCUUCCCCUCAGCGAAGCGGCGCAAAGGUUGUUUUACCAACUUUGCAUCCGGUUGUACGUGAAGUUUGUGCUCGGCGUACUUCCUCGGAACACCCGACAUGUCUUUGGGGGACCAUGCAAAGAUGUCCCAAUUCUCAUGGAGGAAGUCGACAAGCUCGCCUUCCUAUUUGGGGUUGAGGCCAGCCUCGAUGGUGACGCACUGCUUGGGGUUUGCAGGGUCGAGUGGCACCUGCUUGGUCUCUUUGGCCGGCUUGAAGGAGCCUUCGGGGGUCGACUGGGACGGAGGAGAAGGGAUCGUUGGCUGCUCGGUAGCCUGAGCUACGAGCCGGUCGAUCUGUCUCUUCUCCUCAGCACCUGGCGAUCCCUUCUUCUCCGUGGUCCAAAGGGAUCGAGCAGAAGGGAUCGCCGGCUGCUCUGUAGCCUGGUCGUCUUGAUGGGGGUAGUCGUCGUGGAGGCGGCCGUCGUCGCGAGGCGACGGCGGUGGAGUCGGAGCAGGACCUGGAGCGGGGACUUGAGGCGUAGCCUGCGCACCUGGGGCAGUCGGCAAGCCCUCCCCUUGCGACAGCCGUCGUGCAAAGUUGCACUGUUGAAGGGUGUGGGUAGAAGGCUAUGCCCGAGAAUGUAUCUUGCACGGGGCAUCAAACAGCUGCUCGAAAGUCUGCUUGGGCAACCAGUUCGUAUUGCCCAUGUUGGGCCGCUUCCGUUGAGAGCCGGCUUGAGAAGCCGACACCUCACCCUCCCCGCUGGUUACCAACUUGUUGUUGGAGCGCGAAUCUAGCUGAUCCGCCUUCGCUUGUUGUUGUUCUGGCUGCCUCGACAGUCUCCAGCCGACUUAGGAGUAGCCGGCGUAGGGACAACCUUGUCCGAGGCGGUCACCUUGACCCGCAUCGCGGAGUCAGUCAUGGCGUACUUGUCCACCUUGGCCAUUAGCACCGCCGUAGAAGUGGGCUCAGAGCACAUGAGCUUGUGCUUGAGGAGGGUGCCAUCUCGGCAACCGUCGAUGAAGUACUGGAUGGCCUGUACCUCGUGCACUCCCUCGCAGGAGUUGCGAAGCUCCGUCCAGCGAGUGAUGUAGUCGCGAAGGGGUUCGUCGGGCCUCUGGGCGCACAUGGCCAGCUCGCGAGGCCGGCCAGGGCGCUUGUAGGUGCGAGUGAAGUUGCGGACGAACGCCUCCUCGAAGUCCACCCACGAAUUGAUGCUGCCGGCUGGAAGGUUGUUAAGCCAAGUCUGAGUCGAGCCGGUCAACAUGAGCGGCACGUAGCGGACUACUACGUGCUUGUUUCCCUGGCAAUGCCGAUGGCGGUGGUGUAGUCGAUCAGCCAGUCCUCUGGCUUGGCGGUGCCAUUGUACUUGGGAGUGUCCCGAGGCAAGGUGAAGCCUUGGGGAAAUGGCUCCCCUCAGAUCCGGGGGCCGAAGCAGGCCGGACCUAUGGGGUCGUCCUCCUCCAAGAGGACUGACUGGGCCAGGGCGUCGGCCAGGCGGUUGCUGUCUUGUGCACACUCGAGCGACUUCUUGUAGUUGCCAACAAUGGUGAUGAUGCCCUUUGGACUCGGUGCUGAUGGGGGUAGAAGGGAUCGCCGGCUGCUCGGUAGCCUGGCCGUCUUGAUGGGGUAGUCGUCAUGGAGGCGGCCGUCAUCGCGAUGCGGCGGCGGUGGAGCCGGAGCAGGACCUGGAGCCGGGACUUGAGGCGCAGCCUGCGCACCUGGGGCAGCCGGCAAGCUCUCCACUUGCGAUAGCCGUCGUGCAAAGCUACACUAUCGAAGGGUGUGGGUAGAAGGUUGUGCCCCAGAAUGUAUCUUGCAGGGGGCAUCAAGCAACUGCUCGAAAGUCUGCUUGGGCAACCAGUUCGUAUUGCCCCUGUUGGGCCGCUUCCGUUGAGAGCCGACGCCUCACCCUCCAUGCUGGCUACCAACUUGUUGUUGGAGCGCGAAUCUAGCUGAUCCGCCUUGCGCUUGUUGUUGUUCUGGACGCCUCGACUGUCUCCAGCCGGCUUGGGAGUAGCCGGCGUAGGGACAGCCUUGUCCGAGGUGGUAACCUUGACCCGCAUCGCGGAGUCGGCCGUGGCGUACUUGUCCGCCUUGGCCAUGAGCACUGCCAGAGAAGUGGGCUCGGAGCACAUGAGCUUGUGCUUGAGGAGGGUGUCGUCUCAACAACCGUCGAUGAUGUACUGGAUGGCCUGUACCUCAUGCACUCUCUCACAGGAGUUGCGAAGCUCUGUCCAGCGAGUGACGUAGUCGCGAAGGGGUUCGUCGGGCCUUUGGACGCACAUGGCCAGCUCGCGAGGCCGGCCAGGGCGCUUGUAGGUGCCAGUGAAGUUGCGGACGAACACCUCCUCGAAGUCCACCCACGAAUUGACGCUGCCGGCUGGAAGGCUGUUAAGCCAAGUCCGAGCCGAGCCGGUCAACAUGAGCGGCACGUAGCGGACUGCUACGCGCUUGUUUCCCCUGGCAAUGCCGACGGCGGUGGUGUAGUCGAUCAGCCAGUCCUCUGGCUUGGCGGUGUCGUUGUACUUGGGAGUGUCCCGAGGCAACAUGAAGCCUCGGGGAAACAGCUCCCCUCGGAUCCCGGGGCCGAAGCAGGCCGGACCAAUGGGGUCGUCAUCCUCCAGGAGGGCUGACUGGGCCAGGGUGUUGAGACGCCUGCGGGCGUCCUGGUCGCCCUGGGGAACGCGAGCGCCGAUCCGAGCCGCGAUCGGAAGGGCACCUUGCGAACCGGUGGCAUGGGUCUGGACGAGGAACCUCAUACACCGAGUCGCUCUCGUCGCCUCCGCGACGCCUGCCCGAAGUAUGCUCGCUCUGGCGCUGGGAGCGCCUGUCUUGACUUCCUUCGCCCCUCCGGCCGGAGAUGCGAUGCGAGGAAGAUCCCUCCGCAUGUUGAUGACUGCUAGGGUUGCGGCGCGCUCCGGGGUUGGGUCCCGGAAACUCUGACUAGGCUUGACCGGGGUCAAGCCGUGUCUGCUGCUCGUUGGCGGCAUCACAUAGAUCCUUGAUCCACUUCUCCUGGAAGGCGCGCUCCUCGCCCUUUAAGCUCGGCAUUUAUUCCAUGGCCGCCUGUGCCGCCCGCAAGUUGGCUACAGGGGUCUCGUAGACGGGCUGCUUGCCGCCUAGAAUCUCGGCAAUGAACCGGCCGCGGCCGCGGACCGAACCAAGCCGGCUAGGGGCCUCGGAAACCGGAGUGAGGCCGUAUUCGGAGUUAUACUCACGCUACGUGGCCUCCAUACGGCGCUUCGCCGAGGCGACAGCGAUGCCCUUCUCCAAGAUCUGCUUGCGAGCCUCCUCCAGCAAAGCUCGGGCGUCGUUAGGGUUUGUGGAGGCGGCGAUGGGCAUCUUUAGGCCGGUUAGCGCAGCCUGAAGAGUGUCAGCGGCGACAGCAGCAGGGUCAGCAGUGUCUGCUGACGCUUUGCCCUGAACCGUGCUGGUGCCGGCGCCAAUGACCAUCACCUCCACGACGUUGGAAACGGUGGCGACAUGGUAUGGGGUGAAGAACCCCACCGACGGCGGAGGUCCGUCGAAGACGAGUACGUUGCUGGGGUACACGUCAUGUGUAUGCGUCUCAGCGAUAGAUAGCCUACUGAAGCUGGCACACAGUGCCUCAACAUCGAAGUCCUCGCCGACGUAGCGAGGACCUUCGUUGAGGCGCAGGUCGCUAAAGAGAAUGUUGAGGUUCUCCAUAGCAGCGACGACGACGCUAGGAGGCGCCUCAUCAUCGGACUCUUUGUCCGAAUCCGCAUGGCGGACCGGGACGUCGAUCAUCAUCGGCGUUGCCUCAUCGAAGGCGGGCUCCACGGGCAUGCAGAUCGAUCCGGACGCGAUGCAUCCGGUGGCGUAGGUGCGGGGCCCCGCCUAGCGCGUAAAGCCAGUCGAUGUCGUGAUCGGUCCCAUGGUGGGCGCCAAAUGUCGGUGAAUACUCACAGCAUAUGCCAUAGGUAGGCUAAAGUCGGUGAGAACCGAAGGGGCAACGGAGGGCGCUGGGGGCGAGGUUGGUACAAGCAUGGAACGCAUGAUGUACCCAGGUUCAGGGCUCUACGUAGAGAUAAUACCCCUAGUCCUGCCAGAGUGUAUGAUGUAUAUGGAUGGAUUGCAAGGUUGCUCCUGGAGCUUCAUUGCGGAGGAGGAAGAGGGGAGUAGCCGGCUCGUCUCUGCCUCUCCUAUGUGGUUGGUUAGUGUGUGUGUAAUCUGUUGACCGACCUCUGCAUGAAGGGGGGCCGGGGGGUUUUAUAGACGAACCCACCGGUCUACAAUAUGGAUAAAGGGUACAAGAGUGGGACCCGGCUGGCAGCCUCGCCGGCUGGCCAGGGGGCCCACGAGGGUCUUGUCUUGUCGCUUGAGGGCCCGUCGGCUGUGAGGUCCCGUCUGGCUGUGGGACCCGCCAGCUGGCCAAUGGAGCUCUCGCGUAAGGUUGACGCACGGCACGCGCGGUACGUCCGGCGUCGCCCAGCGAGAUUCGUCAUGGGCAGACGGUACGGCCGCCUCCGCUGUUCCCACGCCGAGUGCAGUAAUGGAGUGGGAGUUUGACGGUCCGACACUAUGCUGGGUGAUGGAUCAGAGACGGGGUAGGUCAGCGGCGUGGCCGCCGACGCUGGUACCUGCCGUGCACUCCAAUACAGUACCUCUGCUGACGCGUAGCCACCUUUAAUCGUAGGGUCUCGUCAUGAUCUACGAUCUGAUGUGACUUGAGAUCCCCGGCCGGCUAGCCUGCUUGGCUAGCCGGCUUGGGCACGGCCGCCUCAUUCCUAGCCGGCCCGCUUGGCCUAGGCGGCUAGGAAGAGGUAGCCGUCUUGCCUCUAGCCGGCAGGUGUUGCCUGGCCGACUAGAGAGUUAGCCGUCUCGCCCUCUAGCCGGUAGGUGUGGCCUAGCCGGCUAGAGGACUUGGACCUUGCAGAAUGGUUCUUGGUCAUUUCUUUGGGACGGAGAUAAAGGAGCAGGCUCGUUGAGCCUACCCCGGGGUUAUCCCCCCGACACGUAGUGUCUGACACCACCACUAAAUUUUAACAGUGGCGCCAUAUUGAAGGUUUUGGAUGUCCAUGCGAGCAGGUUCUUUUUUGCAAUGACAUAGCUAGGAUUUUCUGCAUCAGUGCACAUUAAACGGUGAAACCUGCUGGAUCUGCCAUGGCCUCGGCCCGAUUUGAUGGAGGUCUGGGUCGAUGGCAGUCACUCACGAAGACGCACUUAAGAUCCCUCUUGCUCGGGCCUCAUGGAGGUGAACGCGAGGACGACAGUGCUAGAGUUUGGUCAUGGAUCGGACAAGGGAAGAGAGAGAAAAUGAGAAAAGGUGAAAGAGAAUCCGAAAAGUAAGAGAAUGGAAAUGCCCGUGCGAUUACUUGGCUGAUAUGAAUCCUUUUCCCAAUUUAUAGUUCAUAAAAAAUUACAACACGGUUUUGAUAAAAGAAACAAUUACUUGUAUUUACCGCUGCUCCAGGCUUAAGACGGAGCUUAUGAUUUUUACACAUCACACACACAAGCGGUCAUAUAAACGCGCAUAUACUCAUUCAUAUGAAAGCACACAUUCACAUUUUCUUCUUAUGAGCACUUUUGAAAGAUUGAGCCGGUAGAUCAUCUUGAAAUUUACGAAGUCAUCCUAGGUAUCUUGUCAUCAACGGAAACGUCUCCUUUCACUGAAUGCGCGUCGCUAAAAAAUUCAGAAAUAAUAUAAACACCAGAACUUGAAUCCUGAUGGACCGGGACCAUUGUCUCUCUAACCAUCCAACCAUAAACUCGUACGAUUUGAGGGAAUAUGCUAUUCGCCGCUCUCUGCGGUAGCCGGUCGAGCUUUCGCACAAGCUUCACAAGACAACGGUGCUAUGUGGGCCGGCCCAUUAACAGGUUGCACUGACCCUGUUUUUGGGAACCUUCUAAAGGUUCUCAGCCGGUUUUUUACGGUUUGGAAAACUUCUACAAGGCCCCCUCAACCGUUUUUUUCUUUAUUAUUUUAUGUAUUUUUUCCUUUUUUUCUAUUUCAAAAAAUGUACUAGAUUUUCAAAAAAUAUUUUGAAUUUUAAAAAAUGGUUGGGAUUUUCCAAAAUUGUUCUUCAUGUUCGAAAAAUGUUUUUUUCUUUUUCCAAAAAUGGUCUAGAUUUUCAAAAAAUAUUCUGAAUUUUCGAAAAAUGUUUUGGAUUCUAAAAAUAUGUUUGGGAAUUAUAAAAAUUGUCCAUCAAAUUCAAAAAUGUUUUUGCUUUACAAUUUUUUUUCUGGAUUUUCAAAAAAUGUUCUGAAUUUUCAAAAGAUGUUCUUGAAAUUCAAAAAAUGUUUUGAUUUUUCAAAAAAAGUUAUGAACUCUCAAAAACAAUUUUGAAUUUUCCAAAAAAAAUCUUCAAAUUCUAGAAAUGUUUUUUGAUUCUAUGAAAUUAUUAAAACAAUUUUGAAUUUUCCAAAAAAAAUCUUCAAAUUCUAGAAAUGUUUUUUGAUUCUAUGAAAAUAUUUUAAAUUUUAAAUAGUUCUCAUUUUUGAAAAAAUUCAGAAAUUCAAAAAAAAAUUGGGAGUUUCAAAAAAUGUUAGGUAGCGCAAAAAAAAGUUUAUUAUCUUUAGGAAAUGUUCGGUAUUUUCAAAAAAGUUCAGAAUAACAAAUUUUUGUUCAUUUUUUAAACUAUGUUCUUUGGGAUUUGUAGAAAAAGGAAACGCGGCUUAAUCCAGCCCAUCAAAUCUAAAAUUAUGAUGGGUCCCAUGGCACUAAUAAUUUUAGAUUUGAUGCGAUGGCCCCGUGACGCGCAGGUAUUUUAAACGGAAGAAAAGGUUUCCCAAAAAAAAGAAGGGAAGAAGAGGAACAGAGAGAAGGAAACGAAAGAAAAGCAGGAGGCGAAGCAACGGAAAAGAAAUGGAAGAGGAGAAGCAAAGGAAAAGGAAAAAGCUUGGGAGAAGAUCGAUCUUGCGUCCGGUGUAUAUAUAUAUAUAUACACAGUAGCUUCCCCAAAUCAGAGCAAAUCCAACACAGCCCGAUCGAGCGAGCGAUUCUGGUUGGCGCGAUGGCGAUAGUGGAGUUCGGCGCCGGCGGCAAGCUCUCCGCCCCCGGCGAGUAUCCCUGCGUUCGACGAGUCCGUCACCGGCGGCUCCUCACCUACCUCUAGCUCCAGGGCUUCCAGCCCACCUUCCAGGCGUACUCGUCGAUCUCUGUCUACUUAUACUCCUUGCUAAAUUCUCUGAUUAUUUGUACGUACGUGUCGUGUCGUGUCGCCUCGUUUUUUUUCGAAAAGGAGGCCUUGCCCCGGCCUCUGCAUCGAAUGAUGCAUACAGCCAUAUAUUAAUCCAAAUAAGUAUCCAGUAAGUACAGAAUAUAUAAAAAAGGAAAAAAGAGAUACAUGGCGAACAUCGCGCCGCAGCCUGGAAUGGCUAAAAGAUGAAGAUGACUAAACACAUAUCCUAUUAAUAUUCCGCCAUCCAAACCGGUUGAAGAUACCCUGUGCUAUCAUCUCCCAGCGGGCACACCCAGUAACCAUAAGCUCCCUGGCUGCCACAGGAGUUAGUAACGACCAUGCGCGGAUCAGUGCGGUAAUUCGGUAGAUAACGUGCAAGAAUUGGAUAUCACGAGUUCUGUUAAAAACCAAAUCAUUUUUGCUAUUCCAUAAAGCCCAAAGAAGAGCACAUGCUCCGACACGAAUAGAUUUAGCCAAUUUAACAUCAAUUCCCUGUAACCACGUUCCAAAUAACGAGUUCAAGUCAACAGGAGGAGCGAUGUUAAAAGCAAUGUGAAUUGAUCGCCAAACAAUUUUAGCCAAAGGACAGUCGAGAAAGAGGUGGUGAAUACUUUCUAGGCUUGGACAGAAAGAACAUCUGGAACUCCCUUUCCAAUUCCGUUUGGCCAAAUUAUCCUUAGUUAAAAUAACUCCCUUGUGAACAAACCACAAGAAAACUUUAAUUCUAAGAGGGACCCUAACCUUCCAAAUAUGUAUUGAUUUUGGAAUUGGUACUGAAUCAAUGAGAUCGGAAUACAUGGAUUUAACCGUAAACAACCCAUUUGGUGUUAAUCUCCGAGAUACGAUCACACCUAGCAGAAAUAUUAACCUCCAUUAAUCUUCUAACUAGAUGCAACCAUGAAACCCAUCUAUCCCCAACUAAAGAUCUGCGGAAUUGAAUAUUAAGGGGAAUCUCCCGCAAUACAGCCGCAACUGUCACUUGUCGACGUUGGGCGAUAUGGUACAACCGCGGGUAUUGAACUGCCAGAGGCGAUUCUCCUAACCAGGUGUCUUCUCAGAAUCUAGUCAAUUCCCCAUUUCCAAUGAUGAACCUCAAUCUGUGGUAGAAUGAACUUUUUACCCGCAUUAGACCCUUCCAAAAUGUCGAGUCAAAAGGUCUCGCUUCUACGUGCGAUAAGGAUUUGGAGUGCAGGUACUUGUUUGAGAGAAUUUCCACCCACAAUCCAUCGGUUUCCAUUGACAGUCUAUACAGCCACUUGCUGAGCAGACAUUUAUUUUUAGUUUCCAAAUUUUCAAUACCUAAUCCUCCUUGAUCUUUAGGACGGCAAAUAAUAUCCCAUUUCACCAAUCUAUAUUUAGUCUUAACCUCAUCACUCUGCCAGAAAAAGCGAGAGCGGUAGAAAUCCAAUCUUUUACGUACCCCAACAGGUAUUUCAAAAAAGGAUAGGAGGAACAUAGGCAUACUUGUUAAUACCGAAUUCACCAAGACUAAUCUGCCUCCAUAAGAAAGAAGCUUGCCUUUCCAAGUAGUAAGUUUCUUUUUAAACCGUUCCUCAAUACAUUUCCACUCUGCAUUAGAUAGUUUACGAUGGUGAAUGGGGAUUCCUAAGUACGUAAAAGGAAAUUCCCCUGCCACACAUCCGAACAACUGGUUAUAUAUGUGUUGUUGCUUUUUGGCUUCCCCAAAACAAAACAACUCACUUUUAUUAAAGUUAAUCUUCAACCCAGAUAACUGCUCAAAAAGGCACAAGAUGAGUUUGAGGUUUUUGGCUUUGAGUAAAUCGUGCUCCAUAAAGAGAAUCGUAUCAUCAGCAUAUUGUAGAAUUGAAACUCCCCCAUCCACCAGAUGAGGUACUAAUCCAGAAACAAGGUUUUUUUCGUUAGCUCUCUUGAUCAACAGAGCCAACAUAUCCGCAACGAUAUUGAAGAGAAUGGGAGACAUAGGGUCACCUUGUCUUAGUCCCUUUAGUGUCUGGAAGAAGUGACCAAUAUCAUCAUUGACCUUGAUCCCGACACUCCCUCUUGUGAUAAAGGAAUCUAUGUGUUUUCUCCAAACCUCAUCGAACCCCUUCAUCCACAAUGUUUGUUGCAAGAACGACCAUUUGACUUUGUCAUAUGCCUUUUCAAAAUCCACUUUAAAGAUAACUCCAUCUAGUUUCUUAGAGUGCAUUUCGUGCAGAGUCUCAUGUAGAACCACUACCCCUUCAAGUAUAUUACGCCCAGGCAUAAACGCUGUUUGCGAAGAUAGCACGACAGAGUGUGCCAUCUUCGUUAGUCUAUCCGUUCCAACCUUUGUGAAAUUUUUGAAACUAACAUUAAGCAAACAAAUCGGGCGAAACUGUUCAAUACGAGACGCUCCUUCCUUCUUUGGUAUCAACGUAAUAGUACCAAAAUUCAAAUGGAAUAGUUGGAGAUUACCAGCAUACAAAUCAUCAAACAUAGCCAUAAGGUCCUUCUUAAUGAUGUGCCAGCAGUGUUUGUAAAAUUCUGCCGGAAACCCAUCCGGACCAGGAGCCUUACCACACUUCAAACCUCCUAUCGCAUCUAACACCUCUUUCUCCGAGAAUGGAGCAGAUAAAGACUCAUUAUCAGCCUCCCCAACUUGGGGAAUAUCUGCAACCUGAUACUCGUCCAUAGUCACAAAACUAUCUUGAUGAGCACCAAACAACUGUUUAUAAUAGUUAGAGAUAUAUAAUUUUAGAUUCUCAUGACCAACUAUGGUGCCUUCAUCCUGUUCAAGCUGCACUAUCCUCUUGUUUCUGUGCUUGCCAUUAGCUAUUAAAUGGAAGAACUUAGUGUUAUUAUCCCCAAGAAUAAUAGCUUUAACUUUAGCUCUAUUCGCCCACUUCAUCUCCUCCUCUCUGAGAAGAGAACGAAGCCUUUGUUCCGCCUCAAAUCUUAGUGACGUUCAUCUCCAUCUAAAACAGUGUUCUCUGCUUUUCUAUCCAGCUCAUCGAUAAAGUUUAUGAGCCUAUCUCUCUCAUCUUUAUAUGUCCCCGAGACAUGCUUGGCCCAACCGCGAAGGUACUGUCUCAGGUGUCUGAUUUUAUUUUGCCAACGUUGUAUACUCGUUGAACCGCCCGAUGACCUAUUCCAUUCCCUGUGAACCAGGUCCAUAAAUCCCUCCCUUAAGAACCAACUGGAUUCGAAAGAGAAACUAUCUUUAUUACCCAGAUAUAAUGCAUCCCCAGUAUCCAACAACAAGGGGGUAUGAUCCGAAAUCGCCCUUUGGAGUGCACGAACCGAAACCAAAGGAAACUUCUGUUCCCAGUCCACACUGGUAAGAACUCUAUCUAACUUCUCAAAAGUUUGAUCUGGAAGGGAAUUUGCCCAAGUGAAAUUCCUACCUCUGAGUUAUAUCUCCCGUAGUUCUAGGCUCUCAAUAAUAGUAUUGAACAAGAAUGGCCAUCUACCAUCAAAAUUGCUAUUAUUCUUUUCAUAGGCCCAACGGAUAAUAUUAAAAUCUCCACCAAUCAGUAAAGGCAGUUGUUCAUCGCAGAUGCGAACUAAGUCGGCCAAGAAUUCAGAUUUAAGCUCAGGCUGAGCAGCCCCAUACACCGCUACUAGAGCCCACCUGAAACCAUCCAUUUUGGAUGUAAUCUUGAAUUUCACCGCAAAAUCGCCGAACACUACUUCCCUAACCUGGAGUGUAUCACAUCUAACUCCUAGUAAUAUCCCUCCAGACCUUCCUCUUGGUGGAAGACAGUGCCAAUCAAAAUCAAUCCCUGCUGAGAGGGAGCUCAGAAACUGAGAGGAGAACUUAUCUCUCACAGUCUCUAGGACGGCAAUAAAGUCGAGCUUGUGCUCCGUCGUGGCUUCGGCGAGGAAUCUAGUUUUAGCCAAGUCGCGAAGACCUCUGCUAUUCCAAAAAAUCCCUCUCAUCUUUCAUCAUAGAAUUUCUUAGCAGUCUUAAAGCGUGCACUCCUACGAAUAGCAGAGACCGGAUAAACUUUCCUAUUCCAGGCCCGUUUAAUUUUCUGCCCUUGACCCUGGUCCAUAUAACCGUGAUCAUCGGAGUCAUUAUGACCAACACCCUCCUCACCUACAGUGUUAUCAAGAACCGAAUCCUGACCUUCAUUAAGCUCAUCUAUGGGGUAUAGAUUCUGACAUAAAGAAUUCAGCCCCCAAGGUUAGAAAUCUCUACAUCUGUCAUUAGUUUAACCGCAGCUAAAUUCCUAACGAUAUCCAACACCCUAUCAACCUCUAGGUCUAAUAAUUCAUUAAUAGAUUUCGCAACUUCUGCAUUCGUAUUACCAAGCGAGACCCCAAUGGCUGACGCUUUUUCAAUAAUUUCAGGAGAUGAAAACUGCAAAAUAGAAUGCUCCAAAUUAACCGACAUACCUGUUGACGAUUCAGCAUCCUUCAAUUUUGCAAUCCUAGAUGCCCGAUCCAUCUGCCAAUCAUCCGCAUCUGGCUGGCUCUGAAUCCGGUCGCUAACCCUCCGGUCCGACGUCACAGGAUCUGGAAUACCCCCAAACUGUAUGACCGCUUCCUCAGAGAUAAAGGUAUGAGGUGUCUCCAUCAGCGGGGCCGCCGAAGAAUCGGCGACCAUAGUCCCUGCCUGGGUGGAUAAACUAGAAAAUCUAGAAACCUCCUGCACUGACCCCAUACUCGGCACAGACAGUGCUGUCCUAUCAUCCUCCCGUCUGACCUGCAGCAGGUAACGAUCCAGAGAAAUCGGCUGUAGACCCACAACCGGGGAGGAAGGUUGUGCCGAUGCCCCAGCAACUUGCUUCCCAAAGGACCUCUUCAUCUGUGAAUCGCCGAGUCUGAACGGCACCGCGUCUGGCAGGAAUGAACCAAAGCGUAGCUGAGCCCCUGGAGUCACACCCCCUGUUGCCGGCUCAGUCUCCCCCUCCUUCGAAUCCAGUGCAGCCGACCCAGAAGCAGUAUGAGGCUAAGAAGGAAAUUGUCCCUUAUCUGCAUUACCAGCACCGGAAUCCCCGUCCAUGUCCGGCAUGUCAAUGUCAGGGUCCAUCGCUGUGUGAACAGCUGCCGAUGGAAUCUCAAUCUCAAGACGUAGGGUAAAUCUCUUACCCUCAAAAAUCCAAAGUACUUCCUCCGGAAACAGUGCACUAUCUAGAACACUCACUAACAACCGAACCGCUCCAUUAGCCCGAGUGAACACCAUAUCCACUUGCUCCGUUUUACCAAUUAGAGAGCCAAAACUCCAAGCCACAGUAAAAUCAUUAACUGCCUUAGACGGAGCACCAUAAAAGCGAACCCAGACCUGGUCCAGAGGCACCCCUUGAGGCUCAUCAUCUGCCCAAACAUCAAACUCCAGAAUACAACUCGUGCUAGGAACUCUGCACAUACCAAAUUUGAGUAGACGGGCCAGAUCUUCUUUAGAAGGAAAGACGACCUUAAAGACAGAAUCCGAAAUCGCAAUCGGCUCCCACCUAAAAGUAGCUGACACCAGAUCUCGUAGCUGUUGCACCACCUGGUCAACAGUCAUCUUACCACUGGCAACGGUGAUCUUGCCUAUAAGAGCUACAUCUGGCGUAUGUGUCGAAGUGGAAAUCGCAGGGGACUCGAAGAACAUCAACUCCUCAGAACAUACCCCAUAGAUAUUCAUAACGGGCAUCGGUCCCUUCAUCAGAGGACAUGAGGAUGAACCAUGCGCUGGCUUAAGACAAAGCUCACAGAGCACCGCCGAGCACUCAGACACAAAGUGCCCAUUCUCACCACAACGACAACACGUCAUCUUUUCCUUCUUACGCGCCCACUUAGUUGGACGAUCUGCCCCUUCUAUCCGUGGAGGUCCAAUAUCUUUGUCUACACCCACAGUAGAUGGUACACCUCCAAUGGUCGCAAUUAAUGGAAUAUCAGCAGGCUUCUGCGUUGACUCCUUGUCAGCAGCAACAGGACCCGCAUUGGGCGGUAAUCCCCUACCACCACCACGACCUCCCCACCGUCCUCUAUAUCCACCUCUCUUGGGACCUGCUGGACCUGGAACGAAAUUACCAUAAGGACCCGAAAAACCCUGUCCAGAACCGGCAUUAGAUUGCCAAGCAUAUCCUCGGCCUCCCCCUUGUGACGACGAACCACGAUGCUGACCAGCUCCAUACGCAUUGACCCCAUCGUCUCCCCAUCGUCCGCGGGGUUGCAUGCGAUUAAAAUUAGCCCCAGCUUGCCCUCCUGACUCGGCCGAUCUAGGAACAGCCUGACCAUCACCCGCCCCUGCCUUAACCGCCGCUGGAACCGGGUUAGGAGGCAUCCGAGGUGCCGGUCCUCGGCUACCGGAGACCUGCUGCGAGGCCGCCUGAACACCGCCCGCUCCUGCCUUAGCCGCCGCUGGGACCGAGGUAGGAGGCAGCCGAGGUGCCGGUCCUCGGCUACCGGAAACCUGCUGCGAGGCCGCCGUCGCCCGCUGUUGCGACUGAGCUGGGACUUGUCUGCCGGACAUCUGCGAGGCCGUCGGCGCCCGCUGUUGCGACCGUGCUGGGACAUCUCUGCCGGACAUCACGAGCGACCUAGUGUAAGGGACUCGCGGCGCCCGCGUGAUUUUCUGUCUAGGGAAUCCGACCCUGGGCUGCUUUAAAAAGACCCGAGCAGCCGAGUCCCGGCCAACGUUGCUAUCCGGCUGGAGUCCCUCCUGCGGACGCAACGAGUUCGUAUCGAACUUGGCCUCAACAUGCUGUACCGCAUUACAGGAAACCUCAUGGCAGUGUUGACGAGUCUCAUCGGGCCACCUGGAGGCCGUCUGGGACGUGCUGGACUUGGUAUCCACCUGCUGAAUCUCCUGUCCAACAACCGAGAACGACUCGGAUUGAGCAUCGGCCCGAUCAGCAACAGGCAAUACACCCUCCUGCCCAACAACCAAAAUCGAGUCGGACUGAACAUCGGCCCGAUCGGCACCAUGCACUACAGCAGAUUUUCCUUCCUUCUGGCAGUCUUCUCGGGCAUCAUCGGGUCGCCUAGAACCCGGCUGGGCCAUAUACCCAGUCUGCAGUUCUAAUUUCGGCACCUGACCCAUCCCGUCCGCUCCAAUUGCUGCCGCGAGAAACGCCUCCCGUACAGCUCCUGUGGACUGCAUCACCAGCGGCACAUGCGUCGCAUUCGGCAGUCUACGCUGUCGUCGGCUCCUUCCCACGGGCCAACUACCCGGAACAAGAAAAUCAGAAAGUAAAAUUGGACUCCUACUAACCUUAGGAAGUGGCCUAAUCCAAGGUUUAGGCCUCGGAACAUCCAUCUUCUUCCUCGGUAAAUGAAAAUCUCGCUGGAUCUUGCACUCCACCGAUAUCCCAUCAGGCGAUGCUAGAGAAACCGGAGAAUGUACCGGAGAAGAAGGAGGAAUCUCUUCCUCAAUGUCUGUGUCGGAAUUGUAAUCUGCAAGAACCCAGAAUUUUCCACCUACCCGGGGAGGAGCCGAAGCAUUCUUCACCUCAAAAUCCCCCUCGAAGUGAUCAGGUUUAAUGAGCAGAACUAAAAGACCAUCCAUCUCUAAUUCUAGUCCAAUCCUGAGAUCCUGAUACAUGAGAUAUGAGCCUGCAAAAAUAUCUCCCUCGGCAUCUCGAAUCGUAGCCCACCCAGAAGAAAGAUGAACAACUAGCGAUCCACGCUGAUCUACCUUAGAUACAUCCUUAGAGAUCGAGAAACUCACCUCCCAGAUAAGAUGAACACCUGCAGAACAGCCUCGUGAAAAAUCAGUACAUACCUUGGUAUCGCGGGACGUCUGCCUCGGCUUCGCCAAGGGUCUUGUCGACGACAGGAACCUCCCCACCACCUCCUUGAACACCAGGGUCGACGGAAACCAAAGUAGAGGGCCGCUUGGCUCCGGCGCCGUCCUGCUGAUCUCCCGGAUCAUCACUUGACAGGGGAGAAAAUUUGUCCACCACCUGGUCGCGGGCAGCGCCAGAGAUCUUGACCUGAGACCCGAUCUCGCCGAGCCCCCCCNN